AGCUCUUCUAUGUGCAUGUGCAUUUGUUCUUACAUCACUUGUGUACUUGUGGAGCACGUAUCAGAAUUUAAACUAAGAACUUUUACCGAGGACUCUGGAAGUGUCACAGAAUUACUUCAUGAUUACAUUAAAAUAUUGAUGACUUUUAGUUUUGGUGAGAGCAUUACAAUCAAUUAGUGAUAAAUUUUUCAUUUUAAGACGGCUUGUGACAAAUUUCCGUUUACACUGGCAGUGUUUUAAUGAAGAUCUUGAACAAAAUAUUGCAUUUGGUGUCUUAUUGUGAUAUGUUUAUACUUUGAUUCGCACUAUU